GUGGGGAAUCUUAGACAAUGGGCGCAAGCCUGAUCUAGCCAUGCCGCGUGAGCGAUGAAGGCCUUAGGGUUGUAAAGCUCUUUCGUGGGGGAAGAUAAUGACUGUACCCCAAGAAGAAGCCCCGGCUAACUCCGUGCCAGCAGCCGCGGUAAUACGGAGGGGGCUAGCGUUGUUCGGAAUUACUGGGCGUAAAGCGCACGUAGGCGGACUGGAAAGUCAGGGGUGACAUCCCGGGGCUCAACCCCGGAACUGCCUUUGAAACUCCCAGUCUUGAGUUCGAGAGAGGUGAGUGGAAUUCCGAGUGUAGAGGUGAAAUUCGUAGAUAUUCGGAGGAACACCAGUGGCGAAGGCGGCUCACUGGCUCGAUACUGACGCUGAGGUGCGAAAGCGUGGGGAGCAAACAGGAUUAGAUACCCGUGUAGUCC
rnacentral:rRNA from 1 species